GACAACGUGGGAGAGUGGUUAAUCCGUUGGCCUGCUAAGCCAAUGCCUUCGGGCGCGCGCGUUCGAAUCGCGUCGUUGUCG
rnacentral:tRNA from 2 species